rnacentral:misc_RNA from 1 species
GGGGAGAAUUUGAGCAGUGUGGAGGUGGAGGCAGUGUUGUAUGGGCACCCGGCGGUGAACGAGGCAGCGGUGGUGGCACGCCCGGAUGAAUUCUGGGGCGAGACCCCAUGUGCUUUUGUUAGUAUGAAGAGUGUAGACGGUGGGAAGAGGCCGACGGAGGAGGAGAUUAUAAGAUGGUGCAGGGAGAGAAUGCCGCAUUACAUGGUGCCGAAGACGGUGGUGGUGGUGACAGAGCUGCCGAAAACGUCGACGGGGAAGAUACAAAAGUUUGUCCUG